CGAGGCCGGAGCUUAGGGUCUGUCUAGCAGGCUGGCAGGUGCGGGCAGCUCGAGACCCAGCGUUCCCGCCCUGCGGGGCGCCCGGGGGCACGGGAGCGCCCUGAGCGCGUGCGCGGCGCCAGCACCGCGGGUCCCGUCCAAGCGGAGGUCAAGCGGUAAAAUGCUGCCGGUGAGAGCGCAGCGCCAGGGGCCUUGAAGGGGAAGCGACGGCAGCGUAGCUAGACGGGCAGCCCACCAGUUGAACGCGGACAGCUGAUGCGGCCGAGGAGACCCGCGCAGCCCGCGGAGAUGGAGGCGUGGACUGCCGUGGACUGGAACCCGGCUCAGCGAGCCAGAAUCGCAGCGAUGACGAGGCCGGAGAGCCAGUGCUGUGGAAUCUCUCCCGGGUGCGAAGAGGGACACUGAGGCUGCCACAUGCAAGGCGGUAGUCUGCUGCUCCUGGGACUAGUCCUCUCCACCUACCUUUUCAAAGGGCUCUUUUGAGUUUUCAGCCAACUCUUCCAAACUAAAAUCUCCCAGUACCUAUUUUAAAGGCUGUCAUUUGGUGUUCAGAUGUUAUAUAAGAACCAAAAGGUAACAGUGGUAUUUAAAAGGGGCGAUAAUUUGUGAGCAACAUUCUUCCAAACCUUGUUUGCCUCAAAAGUCUUCCAUAGCGUAACAUUGCAAACCUUAGUAAAAUAUAGCUCAUUAGGCUUUACUUGAAACAACAAAUAAUCUAGAGAUUAUAUAUGCAAACUACCACCAUUAUAGGUAUUUCUCUGUAUAAUUCUUAAAGAGCUCCACCGAGUAAAAGAGAAACUUUUGUUUCUGUAACCAUUUCAAUAACAUCAGUAGGUUUUGACGGUUCCUUCAGUAAUCACUUUCUCUAGCUCAGUUGUGUGAGAUGCGGAAUUGUCACCUUUUUCAAUUGUCAUGAAUUGGUGAGCUCCUGGGACACCUACACAAAGGGUUGAAGUAGCAGUAGUUAAAAUAUUGAUGUUUUCAUGCUAGUUAUACAAAACAAGUAAGAUUUAAGAGGUGUGUUUUUAGGCUUGUUUUUCCUAAAAAUCCAAACUCUAAAAUAUUUGUGAAAUUUUGGAAAGAGAUUUAGAAAAUUGGACAACUUUACACUCAGGACACAGGUACAGCACCUUCCUUUAAAAAUCUAGAUCAUAAUUAUGAUUUAUAAGUUUUUCUUCGCUGACCAAGUGUGAAAGAUUUUAUAUGUUACAUUCCAGUGGAGUCUAAAAACAUUUCAUCAGUGUUUAUAGAAAAGAUCACUUACAGCAUCAGUAAUUUAUGGAGUAGCUUUAUUUUAAAAAUAGGUAAUUUUGAAUUCUUAGGAAUUACAGUUGUAGAGAAAGGUUAAACAUUUUCCUCCUUCUGGAGGUGUGACUCAGUGGCACAGGGCUUACCUAGCAUGUGUAAGGCCCUGGGUUUGAUAUUUAGCAUCACUUACACAAGAAAGUAAUUUUAUCAAAAUACUACUAAUAAAUAAAUUGGACAUUUAUUGAGCAAGAUGCUAAGCAUUUUAUCCUCAAAAUAUCUCUAUUAUUAGUCACCUUUUACAGAUAAGAAAACUUUAGCUAUCACGUUCACUUCCUAUCCCCAAAUCUAUUACACAUAAUUUUUAAAAUGUUGAAUAAAUUAAUAAGCUUUAAAAGGUUAAGUACUGUAAAGUCUUGAUGCAUGAUUGUAACACCAAGUUGAGGUGACUCCAUAUUACGAGCUUUGAAACUACUAAACUAGUAAAAACGAUUUGUAUCAGUGUCAUGAAGUGACAGCAUGAAUAAAUAGAAGGUCCA
rnacentral:lncRNA from 1 species